rnacentral:rRNA from 16 species
GGAUGCGAUCAUACCAGCACUAAAGCACCGGAUCCCAUCAGAACUCCGAAGUUAAGCGUGCUUGGGCGAGAGUAGUACUAGGAUGGGUGACCUCCUGGUUAGUCCUCGUGUUGCAUUCC